UACGGAGGGAGCUAGCGUUGUUCGGAAUUACUGGGCGUAAAGCGCACGUAGGCGGCUUUGUAAGUUAGAGGUGAAAGCCCGGGGCUCAACUCCGGAACUGCCUUUAAGACUGCAUCGCUUGAAUCCUGGAGAGGUGAGUGGAAUUCCGAGUGUAGAGGUGAAAUUCGUAGAUAUUCGGAAGAACACCAGUGGCGAAGGCGACUUACUGGACACAUAUUGACGCUGAGGUGCGAAAGCGUGGGGAGCAAACAGG
rnacentral:rRNA from 1 species